rnacentral:rRNA from 1 species
GUGUCAGCAGCCGCGGUAAUACGUAGGGACCAAGCGUUGUUCGGAUUUACUGGGCGUAAAGGGCGCGUAGGCGGCGCGGUAAGUCACUUGUGAAAUCUCUGAGCUUAACUCAGAACGGCCAAGUGAUACUGCAGUGCUAGAGUGUGGAAGGGGCAAUCGGAAUUCUUGGUGUAGCGGUGAAAUGCGUAGAUAUCAAGAGGAACACCUGAGGUGAAGACGGGUUGCUGGGCCAACACUGACGCUGAGGCGCGAAAGCCAGGGGAGCAAACGGGAUUAGAAACCCUCGUAGUCC